AACGCGAAGAACCUUACCUACACUUGACAUCCCUUGCAUUACUCUUAAUCGAGGAAAUCCCUUCGGGGACAAGGUGACAGGUGGUGCAUGGUUGUCGUCAGCUCGUGUCGUGAGAUGUUGGGUUAAGUCCCGCAGCGAGCGCAACCCUUGUCGUUGGUUACUACCAUUAAGUUGAGGACUCCAGCGAGACUGCCUGGGUUAACCAGGAGGAAGGUGGGGAUGACGUCAAAUCAUCAUGCCCCUUAUGUGUAGGGCUACACACGUGCUACAAUGGCUGGUACAGAGAGAUGCAAUACCGCGAGGUGGAGCCAAACUUAAAAACCAGUCUCAGUUCGGAUUGUAGGCUGAAACUCGCCUACAUGAAGCUGGAGUUACUAGUAAUCGCGAAUCAGAAUGUCGCGGUGAAUACGUUCCCGGGUCUUGUACACACCG
rnacentral:rRNA from 1 species